GAUUCCUAGUGAUUAGAGUUUGAUCAUGGCUCAGGAUGAACGCUGGCGGCGUGCUUAACACAUGCAAGUCGAACGAACCUUCGGGUUAGUGGCGGACGGGUGAGUAACGCGUGAGAAUCUGCCCUCAGGAGGGGGACAACAGUUGGAAACGACUGCUAAUACCCCAUAUGCCGCGAGGUGAAAUGAAUUUCGCCUGAGGAUGAGCUCGCGUCUGAUUAGCUAGUUGGUGUAGGUAAUGGCUCACCAAGGCAUCGAUCAGUAGCUGGUCUGAGAGGAUGAUCAGCCACACUGGGACUGAGACACGGCCCAGACUCCUACGGGAGGCAGCAGUGGGGAAUUUUCCGCAAUGGGCGAAAGCCUGACGGAGCAACGCCGCGUGAGGGAUGAAGGCCUCUGGGCUGUAAACCUCUUUUAUCAAGGAAGAAGAUCUGACGGUACUUGAUGAAUAAGCCACGGCUAAUUCCGUGCCAGCAGCCGCGGUAAUACGGGAGUGGCAAGCGUUAUCCGGAAUUAUUGGGCGUAAAGCGUCCGCAGGCGGCCCUUCAAGUCUGCUGUUAAAAAGUGGAGCUUAACUCCAUCAUGGCAGUGGAAACUGUUGGGCUUGAGUGUGGUAGGGGCAGAGGGAAUUCCCGGUGUAGCGGUGAAAUGCGUAGAUAUCGGGAAGAACACCAGUGGCGAAGGCGCUCUGCUGGGCCAUCACUGACGCUCAUGGACGAAAGCCAGGGGAGCGAAAGGGAUUAGAUACCCCUGUAGUCCUGGCCGUAAACGAUGAACACUAGGUGUCGGGGGAAUCGACCCCCUCGGUGUCGUAGCCAACGCGUUAAGUGUUCCGCCUGGGGAGUACGCACGCAAGUGUGAAACUCAAAGGAAUUGACGGGGGCCCGCACAAGCGGUGGAGUAUGUGGUUUAAUUCGAUGCAACGCGAAGAACCUUACCAGGGUUUGACAUCCUGCGAAUCUCUUGGAAACGAGAGAGUGCCUUCGGGAGCGCAGUGACAGGUGGUGCAUGGCUGUCGUCAGCUCGUGUCGUGAGAUGUUGGGUUAAGUCCCGCAACGAGCGCAACCCACGUCUUUAGUUGCCAGCAUUCAGUUGGGCACUCUAGAGAGACCGCCGGUGAUAAACCGGAGGAAGGUGUGGAUGACGUCAAGUCAUCAUGCCCCUUACAUCCUGGGCUACACACGUACUACAAUGCUACGGACAAAGGGCAGCAAGUUCGCGAGGACAAGCAAAUCCCAUAAACCGUGGCUCAGUUCAGAUCGUAGGCUGCAACUCGCCUACGUGAAGGAGGAAUCGCUAGUAAUCGCAGGUCAGCAUACUGCGGUGAAUACGUUCCCGGGCCUUGUAGACACCGCC
rnacentral:rRNA from 1 species